rnacentral:rRNA from 1 species
GAUGAACGCUAGCGGCAGGCCUAACACAUGCAAGUCGAGGGGUAGAGUUCUUCGGGACUUGAGACCGGCGCACGGGUGCGUAACGCGUAUGCAAUCUACCUUAUACAGGGGAAUAGCCCCAGAGAAAUUUGGAUUAAUGCCCCAUAGUGUUAUCGAAUCGCAUGGUUUGAUAACUAAAGUUCCAACGGUAUAAGAUGAGCAUGCGUCCAUUAGUUAGUUGGUAAGGUAACGGCUUACCAAGACAAUGAUGGGUA